AUACGGAGGAUCCGAGCGUUAUCCGGAUUUAUUGGGUUUAAAGGGGGCGCAGGCGGCCAUUUAAGUCAGCGGUUAAAUCGUGGGGCUCAACCCCAUUCUGCCGUUGAUACUGGGUGGCUUGAUUGCGGUCGAGGUUGGCGGAAUUCGUUGUGUAGCGGUGAAAUGCAUAGAUAUGACGAAGAACACCGAUUGCGUAGGCAGCUGACCAGACCGCAAAUGACGCUCAUGCACGAAAGUGCGGGGAUCGAACAGGAUUAGAUACCCUGGUAGUCCGCACAGUAAACGAUGAAUACUUGUUUUCGGCGAUAUAAUGUCGGAGGCAAAGCGAAAGCGAUAAGUAUUCCACCUGGGGAGUACGCCGGCAACGGUGAAACUCAAAGGAAUUGACGGGG
rnacentral:rRNA from 1 species